rnacentral:rRNA from 1 species
GACGAACGCUGGCGGCGUGCCUAAUACAUGCAAGUCGAGCGCAGGAAAUCGACGGAACCCUUCGGGGGGAAGUCGACGGAAUGAGCGGCGGACGGGUGAGUAACACGUAAAGAACCUGCCCUCAGGUCUGGGAUAACCACGAGAAAUCGGGGCUAAUACCGGAUGGGUCAUCGGACCGCAUGGUCCGAGGAUGAAAGGCGCUUCGGCUUCGCCUGGGGAUGGCUUUGCGGUGCAUUAGCUAGUUGGGGGGGUAAUGGCCCACCAAGGCGACGAUGCAUAGCCGACCUGAGAGGGUGAUCGGCCACACUGGGACUGAGACACGGCCCAGACUCCUACGGGAGGCAGCAGUAGGGAAUAUCGCACAAUGGGGGAAACCCUGAUGCAGCAACGCCGCGUGAGUGAAGAAGGCCCUUGGGUCGUAAAGCUCUUUAGCGAGGGAAGAGGGUAGAUACGGUGAAUAAUCGUGUUUGCUGACGGUACCUCGAGAAUAAGCACCGGCUAAUUUCGUGCCAGCAGCCGCCGUAA